rnacentral:tRNA from 2 species
GACACUGCGCCGGUAUGAACGGAUUAUAUUGAUGUUAUAAAAUAUAAGGUAACCCUUCUGUGUUU